GACAGAGGGUGCGAACGUUGCUCGGAAUUACUGGGCGUAAAGCGCGUGUAGGCGGGCCGACAAGUCAGGUGUGAAAUCCCCGAGCUCAACUCGGGAACUGCACUUGAAACUGUCGGUCUUGAGUGCCGGAGAGGGUGGCGGAAUUCCUGGUGUAGAGGUGAAAUUCGUAGAUAUCAGGAGGAACACCGGUGGCGAAGGCGGCCACCUGGACGGCUACUGACGCUGAGACGCGAAAGCGUGGGGAGCAAACAGG
rnacentral:rRNA from 1 species